UUCCUGAUAGCUCAGUGGUUAGAGCAAAUAGCUGUUAACUAUUUGGUCAUAGGUUCGAAUCCUAUUCAGGAAG
rnacentral:tRNA from 1 species